rnacentral:rRNA from 1 species
GACGAACGCUGGCGGCGUGCCUAAUACAUGCAAGUAGAACGCUGAAGAGAGGAGCUUACUCUUCUUGGAUGAGUUGCGAACGGGUGAGUAACGCGUAGGCAACCUGCCUUGUAGCGGGGGAUAACUAUUGGAAACGAUAGCUAAUACCGCAUAACAAUGGAUGACACAUGUCAUUUAUUUGAAAGGGGCAAUUGCUCCACUACAAGAUGGACCUGCGUUGUAUUAGCUAGUAGGUGAGGUAAUGGCUCACCUAGGCGACGAUACAUAGCCGACCUGAGAGGGUGAUCGGCCACACUGGGACUGAGACACGGCCCAGACUCCUACGGGAGGCAGCAGUAGGGAAUCUUCGGCAAUGGGGGCAACCCUGACCGAGCAACGCCGCGUGAGUGAAGAAGGUUUUCGGAUCGUAAAGCUCUGUUGUAAGUCAAGAACGGGUGUGAGAGUGGAAAGUUCACACUGUGACGGUAGCUUACCAGAAAGAGACGGCUAACUACGUG